rnacentral:rRNA from 1 species
UACGUAGGGACCGAGCGUUGUCCGGAAUCAUUGGGCGUAAAGAGCGUGUAGGCGGCUAUUUAAGUCCUGCGUGAAAUCCUGCGGCUCAACCGCAGACGGUCGUGGGAAACUGGAUGGCUAGAGUGCGGGAGAGGAGAGUGGAAUUCCCGGUGUAGCGGUGAAAUGCGCAGAUAUCGGGAAGAACACCCGUGGCGAAGGCAGCUCGCUGGGACGGUACUGACGCUGAGACGCGAAAGCGUGGGGAGCAAACAGG